rnacentral:misc_RNA from 1 species
GGAGCUUGCUAAAACCUCACCCAAACUUCUUCUUUUUGCUGCCAAUGUCUUCCCCAAGCUGAGUAUGCAAGGUUUAAUGAAGAAAAACUUAGUGUAAAAGAGGGCUAAAUGUGGAGUGCAUGGAGGUAGAAUGAGGUUUGGCUAUGGAGGAUUUUCUUUUGGGAGGAUGAAUUCGGCUGGUCUAUUUGUGAGGUUGAAGAUGACAGAUUUUCUAUCCCAAAA